rnacentral:rRNA from 1 species
AGAGUUUGAUCAUGGCUCAGAUUGAACGCUGGCGGCAGGCCUAACACAUGCAAGUCGAACGGUAGCACAGAGGAGCUUGCUCCUCGGGUGACGAGUGGCGGACGGGUGAGUAAUGUCUGGGAAACUGCCCGAUGGAGGGGGAUAACUACUGGAAACGGUAGCUAAUACCGCAUAACGUCGCAAGACCAAAGUGGGGGACCUUCGGGCCUCACACCAUCGGAUGUGCCCAGAUGGGAUUAGCUAGUAGGUGGGGUAACGGCUCACCUAGGCGACGAUCCCUAGCUGGUCUGAGAGGAUGACCAGCCACACUGGAACUGAGACACGGUCCAGACUCCUACGGGAGGCAGCAGUGGGGAAUAUUGCACAAUGGGCGCAAGCCUGAUGCAGCGACGCCGCGUGAGGGAUGGAGGCCUUCGGGUUGUAAACCUCUUUUGUUAGGGAGCAAGGCACUUUGUGUUGAGUGUACCUUUCGAAUAAGCACCGGCUAACUACGUGCCAGCAGCCGCGGUAAUACGUAGGGUGCAAGCGUUAUCCGGAAUUAUUGGGCGUAAAGGGCUCGUAGGCGGUUCGUCGCGUCCGGUGUGAAAGUCCAUCGCUUAACGGUGGAUCCGCGCCGGGUACGGGCGGGCUUGAGUGCGGUAGGGGAGACUGGAAUUCCCGGUGUAACGGUGGAAUGUGUAGAUAUCGGGAAGAACACCAAUGGCGAAGGCAGGUCUCUGGGCCGUUACUGACGCUGAGGAGCGAAAGCGUGGGGAGCGAACAGGAUUAGAUACCCUGGUAGUCCACGCCGUAAACGGUGGAUGCUGGAUGUGGGGCCCGUUCCACGGGUUCCGUGUCGGAGCUAACGCGUUAAGCAUCCCGCCUGGGGAGUACGGCCGCAAGGCUAAAACUCAAAGAAAUUGACGGGGGCCCGCACAAGCGGCGGAGCAUGCGGAUUAAUUCGAUGCAACGCGAAGAACCUUACCUGGGCUUGACAUGUUCCCGACGAUCCCAGAGAUGGGGUUUCCCUUCGGGGCGGGUUCACAGGUGGUGCAUGGUCGUCGUCAGCUCGUGUCGUGAGAUGUUGGGUUAAGUCCCGCAACGAGCGCAACCCU